rnacentral:rRNA from 1 species
CCUACGGGUGGCUGCAGUGGGGAAUUUUGGACAAUGGGCGCAAGCCUGAUCCAGCAAUGCCGCGUGCAGGAAGAAGGCCUUCGGGUUGUAAACUGCUUUUGUCAGGGAAGAAAUCUUCUGGGUUAAUACCUCGGGAGGAUGACGGUACCUGAAGAAUAAGCACCGGCUAACUACGUGCCAGCAGCCGCGGUAAUACGUAGGGUGCGAGCGUUAAUCGGAAUUACUGGGCGUAAAGCGUGCGCAGGCGGCUUUGCAAGACAGAUGUGAAAUCCCCGGGCUCAACCUGGGAACUGCAUUUGUGACUGCAAGGCUAGAGUACGGCAGAGGGGGAUGGAAUUCCGCGUGUAGCAGUGAAAUGCGUAGAUAUGCGGAGGAACACCGAUGGCGAAGGCAAUCCCCUGGGCCUGUACUGACGCUCAUGCACGAAAGCGUGGGGAGCAAACAGGAUUAGAUACCCCAGUAGUC